AGCAUGGCGCUUGCUACCUUGCUGUGGGCAGUUGUGGCCUCUACAUGUCUCGGAUCCAGCCUGGCCCAGACGGUCACUCAGCCUCAACCAGAAAUGUCCGUGCAGGAGGCAGAGACUGGGACCCUGGCCUGCACAUACGACACCAGUGACAGUCAGUAUUACUUGUUCUGGUAUAAACAGCCACCCAGCGGGGAGAUGAUUCUCAUUAUCCGCCAAGAUGCUUAUAAGAAACAAAAUGCAACAGAUAAUCGCUUCUCUGUGAACUUCCAGAAAGCAAGCAAACACUUCAGCCUCAGGAUCUCAGACUCCCAGCUGGAGGAUGCAGCGGUGUAUUUCUGUGCUCUCUCAGGGAGCACACUGUGGCAGCAGGAAGGCACAAACCCCUCCACGUUUCCUAGAUCAGACUUGCACAUGAGGGAAAAGCCUGAAGAUGUUGGGGAUCAAAUACAGUGCUGA